rnacentral:rRNA from 1 species
GAUUAACGCUGGCGGCGUGCAUAACACAUGCAAGUCGAACGAUGAAACUUAACUGAUUUCUUCGGAAUGAUUUUAAGUGGAUUAGUGGCGGACGGGUGAGUAACGCGUGAGUAACCUGCCUUGGAGAAGGGGAUAGCCUUUGGAAACGAAGAAUAAUACCCUAUGAUAUGAUAAUAUCUCAUGAUAUUAUCAUCAAAGAUUUAUCGCUCUAAGAUGGACUUGCGUCUGAUUAGUUAGUUGGUGAGGUAACAGCUCACCAAGGCAGCGAUCAGUAGCCGGCUUGAGAGAGUGUACGGCCACAUUGGGACUGAGACACGGCCCAGACUCCUACGGGAGGCAGCAGUGGGGAAUUUUGCACAAUGGGGGAAACCCUGAUGCAGCGACGCCGCGUGAUUUAGAAGGCCUUCGGGUUGUAAAAAUCUUUUGUAUGGGAAGAAAAUGACAGUACCAUACGAAUAAGAACCGGCUAAUUACGUG